rnacentral:lncRNA from 1 species
GCACCUCUGUUUUUUUGCUCUCCUAUCCAGCCAGCUUGUAGUGGCACCUGAACGAUCUACUUGUCUUCUAUCAACCAGCAGAUUCUUUAUAUAGUACCAUUUCUUCACUUAACCAAGGUAUGUUCUAGCUCACCCUUACACCUGUACUAAAUCUGCUUGUGGAAUUCUUUAGACUUGUGUAAGCUAGCUUGAUGUAUUGCUUCUCUACUUGUAUCUCAAUGUAGGCAGGAAGUCAACAACUGAUCGGCAAAUGAGCAUGGAGAUUGCUGAAGAGCUGAGUGGUCAAUCUUGAGCCUAAAAAUGAAAUCAUCUAGAGGCUAGACACCAACCGAUUUGAUCAAUUCAUCAUGCGUACAGAGGUACUUUUGCACUUACAAAUCACCUUUCAUUCCAUUCUGCAUGUUAUAUAUAUUUUCUAUCCAUUCAAGCGUGGUUUGCAAUAUAUAAAAUUGCGGUAGAUUUUGAGGUAAAGGUUUGCUAGCACGGUCGUUAGUUAACUUGGAUCAUGUAUGUGUUUAUUUUACAGACUAUGCAUGCUUAGUUAGUGGAGCUCAAAAAACAGUUGGUCAUGCAUCAGAAUAUUGCCAAUGGCCCAAUACAUGGGUCAACUUAUAGUAUGUGUUCUUUUAUUAGUAUUGAGUUGCAACUUGCAAGUUUGAAAUUUGGAUUGAUUCUUACCUCACCUCCCUGUACACACAUGCAGGUUAUUAAGGCGGACACCGUUGAUGUGGCCGUCGACAGGAUUCUGGUUGAACUUGGGAAAGACACUACAAGCAGCAGAGAGAAUUGUUAAACAUUGUCACGUAUGGAUAUGGGCCACCGUCGGUUGGGAUAGUUAGAGGAGAUCUCUUUGUUUUAUUUUCAUGUUUAUCUCUUGAUGUAAUCCUCUCUAUCUCCAUGUAUCUCUCUGGUGGUUUCAACUACCUCGAUGUAUGCCUCCUGCGAGAGCUGGCCUCGCCAUAUCAAUAUAUAUACGCGGGCUCCCAUAUUACGGGGGUUGAGACGCUUCUACAAAA